CUAUACUGCAAGUCGAGCGGACAGAUGGGAGCUUGCUCCCUGAUGUUAGCGGCGGACGGGUGAGUAACACGUGGGUAACCUGCCUGUAAGACUGGGAUAACUCCGGGAAACCGGGGCUAAUACCGGAUGCUUGUUUGAACCGCAUGGUUCAAACAUAAAAGGUGGCUUCGGCUACCACUUACAGAUGGACCCGCGGCGCAUUAGCUAGUUGGUGAGGUAACGGCUCACCAAGGCAACGAUGCGUAGCCGACCUGAGAGGGUGAUCGGCCACACUGGGACUGAGACACGGCCCAGACUCCUACGGGAGGCAGCAGUAGGGAAUCUUCCGCAAUGGACGAAAGUCUGACGGAGCAACGCCGCGUGAGUGAUGAAGGUUUUCGGAUCGUAAAGCUCUGUUGUUAGGGAAGAACAAGUACCGUUCGAAUAGGGCGGUACCUUGACGGUACCUAACCAGAAAGCCACGGCUAACUACGUGCCAGCAGCCGCGGUAAUACGUAGGUGGCAAGCGUUGUCCGGAAUUAUUGGGCGUAAAGGGCUCGCAGGCGGUUUCUUAAGUCUGAUGUGAAAGCCCCCGGCUCAACCGGGGAGGGUCAUUGGAAACUGGGGAACUUGAGUGCAGAAGAGGAGAGUGGAAUUCCACGU
rnacentral:rRNA from 1 species